GGUGCACUGAAAAAGGAUAUCUCCACUACUACUGAAAAUACCUUCCAAUAUACUACUGAGACUACCAAAAAGGGGAUUAUACUAUCCAGAUGCAGACAUCUGGAGCCUAACACAGUCUCCAGAAAAUUGUAAGUGCAUUUUGUUUUAUCUUUAAACAUCAGUUACCUAAAUACUACACCUUAUUCCACUUUCUCCUCUUAUUUCCUAUAUUUGCUCAUCUCUAUCUGGAUUUGAGAAUAUUCCUGAAGGCGC